rnacentral:rRNA from 1 species
AGGAUUAACGCUGGCGGCGUGCCUGACACAUGCAAGUCGAACGAGGCCGCAAGGCCGAGUGACGGACGGGUGAGUAACACGUGACCAACCAACCUCGAAGUUGGGAAUAGCCCUGCGAAAGUAGGGGUAAUACCGAAUGUGGCCCAGGGCGGGCAUCCGCCUUGGUCUAAAGAUUCAUCGCUUCGAGACGGGGUCGCGGCCUAUUAGCUUGUUGGUGAGGUAACGGCUCACCAAGGCGAUGAUGGGUAGCUGGUCUGAGAGGACGACCAGCCACACUGGGACUGAGACACGGCCCAGACUCCUACGGGAGGCAGCAGUGAGGAAUCUUCCGCAAUGGGCGAAAGCCUGACGGAGCAACGCCGCGUGUGGGAUGAAGACUCUAGGGUUGUAAACCACUGUCGGAGGGGACGAUCGUGACGGUACCCUCCAAGAAACGCCCCGGCUAACUACGCGCCAGCAGCCGC